rnacentral:rRNA from 1 species
UACGUAGGGUGCGAGCGUUUGUCCGGAAUUAUUGGGCGUAAAGCGCACGUAGGCGGUUUGUCGCGUCUGCCGUGAAAGUCCGGGGCUCAACUCCGGAUCUGCGGUGGGUACGGGCAGACUAGAGUGAUGUAGGGGAGAGUGGAAUUCCUGGUGUAGCGGUGAAAUGCGCAGAUAUCAGGAAGAACACCAAUGGCGAAAGCAGCUCUCUGGGACGGUACUGACGCUGAGACGCGAAAGCGUGGGGAGCGAACAGG